rnacentral:rRNA from 1 species
AUUGAACGCUGGCGGCAUGCCUUACACAUGCAAGUCGAACGGCAGCACGGGAGCAAUCCUGGUGGCGAGUGGCGAACGGGUGAGUAAUGUAUCGGAACGUACCUUUCAGUGGGGAGUAACGUAGCGAAAGUUACGUUAAUACCGCAUAUUCUGUGAGCAGGAAAGCAGGGGAGUCGCAAGACCUUGCGCUGAUUGAGCGGCCGAUAUCAGAUUAGCUAGUUGGUGAGGUAAAGGCUCACCAAGGCGACGAUCUGUAGCGGGUCUGAGAGGAUGAUCCGCCACACUGGAACUGAGACACGGUCCAGACUCCUACGGGAGGCAGCAGUGGGGAAUUUUGGACAAUGGGCGCAAGCCUGAUCCAGCCAUGCCGCGUGAGUGAAGAAGGCCUCGG